rnacentral:rRNA from 1 species
GACGAACGCUGGCGGCGUGCCUAAUACAUGCAAGUCGAACGCAGUGGGGACGGGUGAGUAACACGUGGGUAACCUCCCAUCAGAGGGGAUAACACUUGGAAACAGGUGCUAAACCGAUACUGAUGGAUGGACCCGCGGGGCAUUGUCUAGGUGGUGAGGUAACGGCUCACCAAGGCCACGAUGCAUAGCCUACCUGAGAGGGUGAGCCGCCACACGGUGACUGAGACACGGCCCAGACUCCUACGGGAGGCAGCAGUAGGGAAUCUUCGGCAAUGGAAGAAAGUCUGACCGAGCAAAGCCGCGUGAGUGAAGAAGGUUUUCGGAUCGUAAACCUCUGUUGUUAGAGAAGAGGUAUCUAACCAGAAAGCAACGGCUAACUCCGUGCCAGCAGCCGCGGUAAUUC